rnacentral:rRNA from 1 species
CCUACGGGAGGCUGCAGUGGGGAAUAUUGGACAAUGGGGGCAACCCUGAUCCAGCCAUGCCGCGUGUGUGAAGAAGGCCCUCGGGUUGUAAAGCACUUUCAGUGAGGAAGAACGCCUGGUGGUUAAUACCCAUCAGGAAAGACAUCACUCACAGAAGAAGCACCGGCUAACUCCGUGCCAGCAGCCGCGGUAAUACGGAGGGUGCGAGCGUUAAUCGGAAUUACUGGGCGUAAAGCGCGCGUAGGUGGCUUGAUAAGCCGGUUGUGAAAGCCCCGGGCUCAACCUGGGAACGGCAUCCGGAACUGUCAAGCUAGAGUGCAGGAGAGGAAGGUAGAAUUCCCGGUGUAGCGGUGAAAUGCGUAGAGAUCGGGAGGAAUACCAGUGGCGAAGGCGGCCUUCUGGACUGACACUGUCACUGAGGUGCGAAAGCGUGGGUAGCAAACAGGAUUAGAUACCCGUGUAGUC